CCAUAUCUCGUUGAAACACUAGUUCUCGUACAAUCACCGAAGUUAAGCAACGCCGAGCCUGGUCAGUACCUACACGGGUGAGCGCUUGGGAAUACGAAGU
rnacentral:rRNA from 1 species